GAGUUUGAUCUUGGCUCAGAUUGAACGCUGGCGGACAGGCCUAACACAUGCAAGUCGAGCGGAUGACGGGAGCUUGCUCCUUGAUUCAGCGGCGGACGGGUGAGUAAUGCCUAGGAAUCUGCCUGGUAGUGGGGGACAACGUUUCGAAAGGACGCUAAUACCGCAUACGUCCUACGGGAGAAAGCAGGGGACCUUCGGGCCUUGCGCUAUCAGAUGAGCCUAGGUCGGAUUAGCUAGUUGGUUGGGUAAUGGCUCACCAAGGCGACGAUCCGUAACUGGUCUGAGAGGAUGAUCAGUCACACUGGAACUGAGACACGGUCCAGACUCCUACGGGAGGCAGCAGUGGGGAAUAUUGGACAAUGGGCGAAAGCCUGAUCCAGCCAUGCCGCGUGUGU
rnacentral:rRNA from 1 species